rnacentral:lncRNA from 1 species
AUUUUUAAUUUUAAAAAUGUUAUGAUAAUAACAUAAAUAGGUAGCGAAAUUCCUUGUCGGGUAAGUUACGACCCGCACGAAAGGCGUAACUAUUCGAAAGAGUUCAUAUAAACCCCUCCAAAAAACUUCUCCAAUACAAUUUUUGAGUUCCACUAAAGUAAGAAGAUUUUGUAUGAUAAAGAAAAAUGAAACCUCCAAAGUCCUCCCCUCCCAAACUCCUCUAUUCCUUCGUUUCUAUUUUUCAAAACUCUCCUCUCUUCCCCUCCAAACUCAAACCCGCAAACAAAACCUUAGGUAUCUAGAUGGUACAUUUAUUGAAGUUGCUACCCACAUAAAUACGAGUCUAGGUAAUUUUUUAAACUGCAUACUGUAUAUAUGAAGACGGCUAUUAUAGUAUCCUACCCAAACUUACAGGUCACAGAUCAUCAUAACAAUCAUUAGUCCUCAAUUUGCACAAAAAUCAAGCAUAGUUAACUUGGCAAUUACUAGUAUUAGUAUCAUCAAGGAAAAUAACCUAUAGAGAGAAUAAUGCCUGAUAGAAUGUAUGAAAUAAACUGGGCAAUUAAUUGGUAGUCAAACUAUGAAGGUUGUAUGCAUGUACCAAAUGAAGUCAAGGUCCUAUACAAGAGCUAGUUCCGAUGCAAUCCAAAUGUUCAUAAAUUCACAUCAGAAGGAAAACUUAUCAACCUCUUCAUCUUCGUCAUCCUCAUUAGAGGUGGGAAUAGGCUAGGCCGAGCUAGGCUUUGCCAAGCCUGGGCCUGGCCUGUCAAAAAAU